rnacentral:lncRNA from 1 species
AGUGUGGUUUUAGCUGUAGUAGCCAGAUUGGGCGGCCGGGAGUGGUGGGGGUGCCGGGUGGAAGGCUCUGGGCGGGGUCUCAGGACCCUCCUUUUCUUGGCGGGGAUCGGGCUUGUGGUGCCGCUCCCCGUAAUGUACGGAGGAAGAGGGAAAGGGCUCUGGCCCCCUCGGCGUCAUGUCUUCGGUGCUGGCGGCUUCCCAUCCGCUGGUUCUAUCCUCAAACGCCGGGACACCGGGAAUCUCGGAGAAGGACAACCGAGAUCCAGCUGGCUCCUCCAUCGGGGUGCUCACACUUUCUCAUUUGAUUUCAGGUCUGCGGACGCUGUAUACCCUCCUCCACUUCCCGCUGCAGCCAAUAAAGGCCGUUCCUACCAUA